AAAAGAAAAAAGAAUUUGUCUAGCAGGUUUUCUGGGUUUUACCGGAAAGCUCCC
rnacentral:snRNA from 1 species